GCAAAGGAGACCAGGCAAGGUGGAUCGGGUUACUGACUAGAAUGACUGAAUGAUUGCAGCUCUUGGCACCUCAUGGUCACCAGGCACUGUCAGGGGGCUGGACGCAACAUCAGUAAGACUCGGCCCCUGCUCUCAGUGACCUGGGGCUUGUCCGCAGAAGCAGACCGGCAGAGGGCAAAUUCCGUGCAGGACCACACGUGCUUUGAUGGGGGUCUAGGGUGA
rnacentral:lncRNA from 9 species